CACCAAAUAAACCAUAAAGCAUAAACUACAAGAUGUAAUCAACACUACUAGUUAGACCCCAGGUACCAAUCAGAUGUUCCAAUACAAGAUUGAGAACAAGAGAUGAACUAGGCUUAUGAGAGGAGAUGGUGGUGAUGAAGAUGUUCAUGAGGACUGGCCUCCCCUAGAUGAGAGGGUUGUUGGUGAUGACGAUGUAUUUAAUUUCCCCUCAGGGAGGGAAGUUCCUCCGAUGGAAUCGCUCUGCCGGAGGGCAAAAGUGCUUGUGCGCAGGUUCCGCCUUGAGACGGCAGCGCCUCGUCCUGAAAGUACGCUCCUGAUUUUUCUCAGGUUAAAAGAGAAUUUAUAGUAGAAUAUGGAUGCUAGAGGUGGGCAAGGGGUCCCACUAACCACCAGGUAGCCCCUCUCUGGUACUUCUUUGCUCCAGUAUUUUUUUUAUUCCAAAAUAAAUUUCCGUAAAGUUCCAGCCCAUUUGGAGAUGUCAGAAUAUGUAUCUUUGGUGUAGCUUUUUCAGGUCCAGAAUUCCAUCUGCCUGCAUUCUCCCUCUUGAUGUAAACCUUGCAUAUUAUGAGAUAAAAGGUAUUAGAAUUAUUCCCCCAAGUGAUAAAUGCGUGAAAACAAUAUAUUUAACAAUAACAAAACAUGAUGCAAAAUGAACGUAUGAAAUAGCUAUGAUGCAAAACCUAUAUUGCAAACUAUUUACACAAUUUAACACAGGGCAACAUGCUCUAUAAUCUAGACUAUCCCGCCAGCACAAAGUAUGUGUAGAUGCUUAGCAAUCAUCAUGCUAACACAACUACUUGAUAACAGUUUUCAGAUUUAGUCAUAUUUCAUACCACCAAAUAAGCACAUUGACAUAGCAUGUUGACAACAAGAAUCCUACAAGUAGACAUGGUUUUCAUAGCAAGUAUAAAUACCAGGGCCUAUUACCCCCAAUACAGUCCAACUUUGAUGUUGACUAGAUUACCAAAGGGUGCAAGGAAUGCUUCAUAUAAAAUUAACAAAAUGGCAUCGUGAUGAAAACUAACAUGUACACGAACUUGCUCAAAAGACAAAACUAAUUCCAUAGAUGGAUUCCUUGGAUAUUCUACCCCAAAUUCAUAUAUAAUAAGCCUAUGUUUCGGUACAAUAACACACAAUAGACUACAUACAAAAAUAUAAUCAACUAGAUAUAACCUAGUAUAUGCCAAAUAUGGCAUAUAUCCAAUUUCGACUUUGCGAGAUUAGGAAAUAGCCAGAACUGGACUUUCCCUAAAUGGCAUAAACUCAAACUCUAUGAGAUAAAUAAAACAAAAACAAACAUAACACUAUCAGUGUCACUAAUGGCCUCUGGGUGGAUGACAGGUGGAUCGAACUCGGGUCUCCCUGAACAGAGAGAGGGGGCGCAACCACUCGGAUACGAAGGGGUUUCGAACCUGGAUGUCCUUGAGCUCCUUUGAGCUAGCCCCCACCAAAGGCCAGGUCAUCCACUCUGAAACAGAGAGAAACGGCGACGAUGCCAGCGAGUACCCCGACGUCAUUCGGAGCAGGCUACCGACGGCGGGGCUGUG
rnacentral:lncRNA from 1 species